GACGAACGCUGGCGGCAUGCCUAAUACAUGCAAGUCGAACGCUGAAGCACUCUGCUUGCAGAGUGCGGAUGAGUGGCGAACGGGUGAGUAACACGUGGGAAAUCUGCCUAAAAGUGGGGGAUAACAUUCGGAAACGGAUGCUAAUACCGCAUACAUUCUUGAACCGCAUGGUUCUUGAAAGAAAGACGGCUCUGCUGUCGCUUUUAGAUGAUCCCGCGGCGUAUUAGUUAGUUGGUGGGUUAAAGGCCUACCAAGACCAUGAUACGUAGCCGACCUGAGAGGGUGAUCGGCCACACUGGGACUGAGACACGGCCCAGACUCCUACGGGAGGCAGCAGUAGGGAAUCUUCCACAAUGGGUGCAAACCUGAUGGAGCAAUGCCGCGUGAAUGAAGAAGGUCUUCGGAUCGUAAAGUUCUGUUAUUAGAGAAGAACAAGUCGAGGAGUAACUGUCUCGACUUUGACGGUACCUAACCAGAAAGUCACGGCUAACUACGUG
rnacentral:rRNA from 1 species